UGGAAAAAGAGUUGUCAAAUUCACCAUAGUGCAAUGCCAAUGCAUUUCAAUGUUCCGUUUUGCGUGCAAACUAGAGUAACUGACUUGGCAAUUCAUAAAUAUACUUUGACUGUCAUAUCGUAUCGUAUAAGUACAUUCAAAUGUUUUGGGAUGGAAGACCGACAUUAUCCCGGUCUGACUAUUUGUAUACACUCUGUAAGAGUACACUCCAACGCUACUCGAAUUAUUGGGGUGUUUGUGCGACGAAUGUAAAACGUUUAUCUGUUGAUUAUCCAAUUUUGUGAUUGGGUGCAGUCCAUUAAUACGAGUAUUACGCAUUAAGCCACUAAUGAGGGAAAAUUUGCCGACAAAAUGCGAAAAGAAAUAAUUAAGUAAAUUUUAAAUUGUAAAAUGCAAUUUCAAUAUAAACGCGCACAGGAAAGUUCACGGCACGACAACGACUCUGAUUGGGAUUGGGACUGGGAUUCGGAUUGGCGGCAGCUGAAGCCGAAGCUCUGGGUGGCUAAGUAUGGGGCUGUGCGCGCCGGCCCAAAACGCUCCGCACGGAGCGACUUUCACUUUCAACUCGAUGCGGC
rnacentral:lncRNA from 1 species